rnacentral:rRNA from 1 species
UACGGAGGGUGCAAGCGUUAUCCGGAUUCACUGGGUUUAAAGGGUGCGUAGGUGGGCAGGUAAGUCAGUGGUGAAAUCUCCGGGCUUAACCCGGAAACUGCCAUUGAUACUAUCUUUCUUGGAUACCGUGGAGGUGAGCGGAAUAUGUCAUGUAGCGGUGAAAUGCUUAGAUAUGACAUAGAACACCAAUUGCGAAGGCAGCUCACUACACGAAUAUUGACACUGAGGCACGAAAGCGUGGGGAUCAAACAGG